CCUACGGGCGGCAGCAGUGAGGAAUAUUGGUCAAUGGACGAAAGCCUGAACCAGCCAAGUCGCGUGCAGGAAGACGGCCCUAUGGGUUGUAAACUUCUUUUGUAUGAGAAUAAAGUGCAGUAUGUGUACUGCUUUGCAUGUACCUUAUGAAUAAGGAUCGGCUAACUCCGUGCCAGCAGCCGCGGUAAUACGGAGGAUCCGAGCGUUAUCCGGAUUUAUUGGGUUUAAAGGGUGCGUAGGCGGGUUGUUAAGUCAGUUGUGAAAGGUUCGGGCUCAACCCGAGAACUGCAUUUGAUACUGGCGAUCUAGAGAAGAGGAGAGGUAGGCGGAAUGUGUGGUGUAGCGGUGAAAUGCUUAGAGAUCACGCAGAACUCCGAUCGCGAAGGCAGCUUACCGGACUAUAACUGACGUUGAGGCACGAAAGCGUGGGUAUCAAACAGGAUUAGAUACCCUUGUAGUC
rnacentral:rRNA from 1 species